UGCGGGAUCGUCUAAAGGUAGGAUGCGACGCUCUGAACGUCGUGAUGUUGGUUCGAGCCCAACUCCCGCAA
rnacentral:tRNA from 1 species